rnacentral:lncRNA from 1 species
GUUUUAGGCCUUGUGGACAUCAUGGGCUUGGCCUUUCAGAUUUAUUACCUGACUCUUUCUUCGCUUUUGACUAAGAUAUCAGUGGAAAUGCAAAUUCUCGGAGUCCCCACCACAGAGCUCCUGAAUCAGACAGAGGCUGAAGUUUUCCAUAGUCAACACUGGCAGUAGAAGAAUGGUGCACUCCCUCACAGUUUUAUGAAAGCUGACUUCUGUGAAUAACUCCGUGAUGGUUCUCCUUCAAAACCCAGUUCUGAAACCAAGCCACUUAGUACAUAGGACACUAAAUUUGAGAGUGCUGACUCAACCAAGUUCAGAGAGCAAAAACCAAUAAUUCUCAACAAAAUGGUACAGGAUCAAAUUAUUUGAUCAUAGAAAUUGAAGUUGUUCUGUUUGUACUUCAUUAGGACAUCAACAUUCAUGCACUGGCGCAGAGAUCUCAAGAGAAUGAAAGAUUAGUAUGUAACCUUCUGAGAAGUUUGAUAAUGUAUUGUUUUUCUUCAAGGUUUAAAUAAAAUUACCAUGUAAAGGACAAAAG